UGCAUUCACUACUGUAAGUCACUCUGGAUAAGAGCGUCAGCUAAAUGACUAAAA
rfam:Salmo salar isolate Sally breed double haploid chromosome ssa22, whole genome shotgun sequence.